rnacentral:rRNA from 1 species
AGCGAACGCUGGCGGCAUGCUUAACACAUGCAAGUCGCACGGCGGGGGCAACUCCGUCAGUGGCGGACGGGUGAGUAACGCGUAGGAAUCUAUCCUUGAAUGGGGGACAACCGUGGGAAACUACGGCUAAUACCGCAUGAUGACUGAGGUCUAAAGGCGCAAGUCGCCAGAGGAGGAGCCUGCGUCCGAUUAGCUAGUUGGUGGGGUAAAGGCCUACCAAGGCUCCGAUCGGUAGCUGGUCUGAGAGGAUGAUCAGCCACAUUGGGACUGAGACACGGCCCAAACUCCUACGGGAGGCAGCAGUGGGGAAUAUUGGACAAUGGGCGCAAGCCUGAUCCAGCAAUGCCGCGUGUGUGAAGAAGGCCUGCGGGUUGUAAAGCACUUUCAGUAGGGAAGAAAAGCCUAAGGUUAAUACCCUUGAGUCUUGACGUUACCUACAGAAGAAGCACCGGCUAACUCCGUG